GGUACCAUGCAGAGCUUUGCACUCCUGAGGACAAGAAAGAAACUGACAAGCUUGAGUGCAUCCAGCAGAGAGCCACCAGGAUGGUGAGAGGAACAGCACACACGGUAGAAGGAGAGAGGCUGAGAGAACUGGGCUGGUUCAAACUGGAGAAGACUGAGAGGGACAUCCCUCCUGUCUCCAACUACCUGGUAUAUUUCAAAAGGACACCGUCAGCCUAACCUGCCAGCCACAACUGACUGUGCUAUGUCAGGAAUGUUUGCAGAAGCAAGUCUUACAUUAAUUCUUGUAUCACAAUGAUCCAGAUGGAGCAAGAUUACUGGGGUCCAGUCCUAGAAAUGUUGCCACAGAAGGCAGGAACUGCUUUUAAAAGCAAACCCCGUGAAGCAUCCUUUACGAGAAACAUACCCAAUGCAUCUCUUUUUAAGGCAUGGCUUUCAAGCAUAAAAAAGUUAACAAUUAAAAGGAGGAGGAAUAAAAUAGGAAAUAGCAAAGUCUGGUGGGUGAAAAACUGUAAAACAAGAAGUAUCGAAUAUAAAUAUCAUCAAUGUAUGAAAGAAAAUUGAAAUCACAGUUAUAAAAAGCAAUAAUUUAGUAUGAUAAAUAGCUUGUAAUUAAGUAUCUAACCCAAGUAGUGUCCUCCAUAGGUAGCUAUGUUUGUAGACAUUUGUUGAAACUGAAGUAAGUUAUAAGGUACAUCUGGCUGCCUCAGGCAGUGAUGGUUCAGCAUUAUUAAGGAGAAUAUCAGCUGUACAAUUGACUGUACAACAUUUGUGCCUAUAAUUUAUUUGCUUGUAGAAAUGACCUGGAGCAGAAGACCUAAAAUAAGUAUUGAAUAGGACUGGAAAGCUUUAAAGCUUUCUACUGAAACAUGGUGAUUUUGGGCUA